rnacentral:rRNA from 1 species
ACGCUCGACACCUACGGGGGGCAGCAGUCGGGAAUAUUGCGCAAUGGAGGAAACUCUGACGCAGUGACGCCGCGUGCAGGAAGAAGGUUUUCGGAUUGUAAACUGCUUUAGACAGGGAAGAAAGAAAUGACAGUACCUGUAGAAUAAGCUCCGGCUAACUACGUGCCAGCAGCCGUGGUAAUCUGAGCGGGCUGGCAAGGC